CUUUGUUAUGGCUCAGGACGAACGCUGGCGGCGUGCUUAACACAUGCAAGUCGAACGAGAAUCUGUGGAUCGAGGAUUCGUCCAAGUGAAGCAGAGGACAGUGGCGGACGGGUGAGUAACGCGUGAGGAACCUGCCUUUCAGAGGGGGACAACAGUUGGAAACGACUGCUAAUACCGCAUGAUACAUUUGGGUGGCAUCAUCUGAAUGUCAAAGAUUUAUCGCUGAAAGAUGGCCUCGCGUCUGAUUAGCUAGUUGGUGAGGUAACGGCCCACCAAGGCGACGAUCAGUAGCCGGACUGAGAGGUUGACCGGCCACAUUGGGACUGAGAUACGGCCCAGACUCCUACGGGAGGCAGCAGUGGGGAAUAUUGGGCAAUGGGCGCAAGCCUGACCCAGCAACGCCGCGUGAAGGAAGAAGGCUUUCGGGUUGUAAACUUCUUUUAAGAGGGAAGAGCAGAAGACUGUACCUCUAGAAUAAGCCACGGCUAACUACGUGCCAGCAGCCGCGGUAAUACGUAGGUGGCAAGCGUUGUCCGGAUUUACUGGGUGUAAAGGGCGUGCAGCCGGGAAUGCAAGUCAGAUGUGAAAUCCAUGGGCUUAACCCAUGAACUGCAUUUGAAACUGUAUUUCUUGAGUACUGGAGAGGCAAUCGGAAUUCCUAGUGUAGCGGUGAAAUGCGUAGAUAUUAGGAGGAACACCAGUGGCGAAGGCGGAUUGCUGGACAGCAACUGACGGUGAGGCGCGAAAGUGUGGGGAGCAAACAGGAUUAGAUACCCUGGUAGUCCACACUGUAAACGAUGAAUACUAGGUGUGCGGGGACUGACCCCCUGCGUGCCGCAGUUAACACAAUAAGUAUUCCACCUGGGGAGUACGAUCGCAAGGU
rnacentral:rRNA from 1 species